rnacentral:lncRNA from 1 species
GUGAUCCAUGCUCUUCUCUCAUUUUUCAACAAUCAAUGCAUCGAAAGAGGACAUAUCUAAUAAUUUUCUUCUGACCUCCUCAUUCAGUAAGACAAAAGUGACAAUAUCCAUGGUAACAACACCAUCAAGUGCCGAAUUGCUCAAGAAAACUAUCAAAGUCUCCCAGCUAUCUGGUAAAAAAUUGAGAAGAAGAAAAGCUUGCAACUCACCAUCA